CAGGAAUGAAAGUAAAGAACACUUGGAAAAGUGCCAAGCAGGUGACUGGAGAGAUUCAAGUGCCUGGUUUGACCUUUGGAUUGGGGUUUUAUAUGCUGGCAUUCCGCAUGCGCAGUGGUCUGCCAGCACUAGGGAGGGGCUGCAUGCACAGUGUGCUUACUGGAGUUGUACGCAUGCUCACUUGAGGCAUUCCUUCUUGACCAGUCAAGUGUUCCUAGGUCACAUACCAGUUGAACUCUGCCAUUUUGCCUCUUAGUGCACAUACUUGAGCCUACUUGCCUGACUCCUGAGAUCUUAAUGGGAAACUGUUGAUCACCAGUUUGAGAUAUUUCUAUCUAUUGGGAGACUGUCUUUGCUGGUGCUGGCUUUGACCAAUUACUGUUUUAGAGAGACAGUGUAACAACUGCCUGACCAUCAUCUGAUGGUUGUCUGACAUUCAUGGUGGGGCAGGGGGCUCUCCCGCCCUGCUCAUGUCUGAAUAACUACCUACUAUGAAACAGGGAUUUUUUUUUUUUUUGAGACGGAGUUUUGCUCUUGUUGCCCAGGCUGGAGUGCAGUGGUGCAUUCUCACUCACUGCAAACUCCACCUUCUGGGUUCAAGCGAUUCUCCUGCCUCAGCCUCCUGAGUAGAUGGGAUUACAGGCAUGUGCCACCACACUCAGCUAAUUUUGUAUGUUUAGUAGAGACGGGGGUGUUCACCAUAUUAGUCAGGUUGGUCUCGAACUACUGACCUCAGGUGAUCCACCUGCCUCGGCCUCCCAAACAAAGGGACUUCAAAGGUAAGAAUGAGUCAAGCUGGCCACGAAAAUGGAGAACUGGAAAAUCUCAAGAUUAGAGGCUAGAAGACCUUCCCAGGCACUGAUGAUGCCACGUCAAGUUCUAACCACCCCAUCUUGGACCUUCAAGUGCCUCCAAAGCCUAUGAUAAAGGGUGGCCACCAGAGGGAAUUCUCUAAUCUGCGAACUUGGCUGUGAUUUUUCAAACAGAAUCUGCCAGUGGCUUCUCAUGGACUUGAGUCAACUCCAAGAAUGGGCGAUCAGCUGUCUUCACCACCCCCAGCUUAUACUCCUCUAGAGUGUAUCCUGAACCACUGGGACUGCUUUGACCCUCAGACUCUGGAGGAAAAUGGCUCAUAGCCCUCUGCACAAAGGUUUGGGCAAAUUAUGAAGGACUGGCUUGGCCUCAGGAAGAAACCAUUCAUUUCGAUAUCAUCCAGCAGUUGGAGCUUUUCUGUAAACGUGAGGGCAAAUGCUCUGAGGCCCAUAUGUGCAGGCUUUCUAUACCGUGCAGGGCAAUCCAGACCUUAGCUGACAAUGUAGAAUUAAUCCAGACCGGUUUGCCAUCUCGGGAGAGGCUGCAAGGGGCAAUCCCAGGGAACCAAAAAAACAAAUCCCAGAGGCAUCCCCAGCAGAGGAGCCAGCUCCCUCCAGCCCUGCUCCGCCAGGUCCACCCCAUCCCCCCUAUCCAGCUUCAGUCUCUCACUUGCCCCCUCCUAGAAAUUCUCACCCUAGACAAGCCCCAGUCUCAUUCUUUCCCCUCCAACAGAUGCCUGGUGAAUUUACCCCAUAAGGUCCAGGUACUCUUCUCUCUACAGAACUUGAAGCAAAUUGAGGGGGAUCUUGGCAAGUUUUCAGAUGACCCUGAGAGAUAUAUAGAGGCUUUUCAGAACUUAACCCAAGUAUUUGAGCUCUCCUAGGAAGACGUCAUGUUACUUUGAACCAAACCCUGACUAACACUGAGAAGCAGGCCACUCUGCAAGUGACAGAGAGAUCUGGGGAUGAGGUUUGUAUCAUACGUAGCACCCAGGAAAGGGGGUGAAUAUUAUCCAACUGGAAGAGAAGGAGUAUCAAUGAAUGUCCCUAAAUGGGAUCCCAAUGACAAGAUGGGAGAAUGCAAGAGGAGAGUUUCAGGUGUGCAUAAUAGAGGGCUUUUGUAGGAUUAGAACUAAGCCUCUCUACUAUAUCAAGAUAUCCAUGAGAGACCAGGGAUUUAAUGAAAAUCCCACUGCCUUCUUGGGGAGGCUAAGAGGGACCUUUGUAAAGCAUAGGUCUCUGUGUCCCGAUUCCAUCAUGGGACAACUAAUCCUAAAUGAUAAAUGUAUUACUCAGGCAGCCCCUGAUAUCAGAGGGAAGUUGCAGAAAUGGGCCCUGGCGUCGGGGAGUACUUUAGGAGACCUCCUGAAAGAGGCCACCUUGGUCUUUUACAGUACAGAUAGGGAGACACAAGAAAGAGGCAGAAGCUUUAAGGGUCACCAUGCAAACCCACAAACCCCAGAAUUCCUAAGGUGCAUCUGUUAACUCCUACAGAUGUGGCAAGAACAGUUAUCUCUCUUCUAAAAUUUAACCACACCCAUGCAAGUCUUAAUUUCUUUCACUAAGGUGAAACAGCUCAGGGUACAAUGUUGUUAGUAUAUUACACUUCCUAUUUCGGUAAUCUUUGGUGGCAAGAACAGUUAUCUCUCUUCUAAAAUUUAACCACACCCAUACAAGUCUUAAUUUCUUUCACCAGGGUGAAACAGCUCAGGGUACAAUGUUGUGAGUAUGUUACAUUUCCUAUUUCUGUAAUCUUUGGCACUAGAUUAUUUCUUUGUAUAAUACACGUUUAACCCAUGCAUACUUAACACCUUAUAAAACUUGUUUUUUUCUCUCAAAUUUGAGGUCAUGAAAAUCCAAAUGGUCAGGCAACCGGAGCCUUGGAUGAUGACUCCCUUUCCCCAGGGAUCCUUAGAUAGACCUCUGGGAGGAAUCUGACUUCUGUUUUCCCCAAAAACAAUGUCCUCUGUCAGCAGGAAGUAGCUAAGAUAGGUCAUUGUCCAUAUUCUAAUGGCAAUUAGAUGGGCCUCUUAGAGGGUGGAAAUGAUACAGAUACAGGCAAGGAAAUACUGGGUAGAAGAGGGCAGUUCCCCAACAAAGGCCCACCCUGAAGCCUGGAAAUCCAUGGCCCUAAAUGGGAGCAAGCAUUCCCAUUUUCAUGCCCAAAUGUUGCCUUUUCCAAGACCACUCUGGCCUGCCACACCCCUAUCCUGUGCCCAUAUAAACCCCAAGCUCUACAAGCAGAGGAACAGAAGAGCAGCAGAGUAGCAAAAUGGCAUGGCAGAGGAGAGAAGAGAAGGAGCAUCUGAAUGUCAGGAGGAGUUCGGCUGAGGACGGUUGGAAAGCAGAUAAGCCGGGGAUGGCUGAACUCCAGGGGAAGAUCAUCUUCCCACUCCAUCCCCUUUCCAGCUCCACAUCCAUUCCUCUGAGAGCCAACUCCAUCACUCAGUAAAAUCCCCACCUUCACUAUCCUUCAGGUUGAUGUGACCUGAUUCUUCCUAGAUGCCAGACAAAGACGGAUACCAAGAGAGCAGAAUAUAAAAGGCUGUCACCCUGACUCUCCACUGAGUGGAAUAGCCAUCCACGAAAAGCAACUGCUAAAGAGCACUAAUUGUAACACACCCCUAGAUGCUACCAUGGGGAUGGAGCCCAAAAGCGCUCGCCCUGGCUCCUGCACCUGCCUGUCUGCAUGUUCCCCCUCCCACAGGGGAUUUGAACGUGCAGCAGCCUUGCAAAUGAGCCACACCCCGUCACAAGUCCUGUGAGGAAGUCAGGGAACUCUCCUCUGUUAGCCCAAGUGGCGCCAUCAAGUAAACCCCUGCCAUUUUGUACACCCUGAUCAGGGAGGAAACUUCCAUAGGGGCUCAGGCCAUGAAAAGCAUUUUGCCAAGCAGAUCCCAGGCCACACUGCCUGACUGCAGGAAAUGGCUCCCUUAUUACAUCCUGCCAGGCAGCUAGCCACACUGCCCCACCUCCCCUGUCCAGACCUAUAAUUGCCCCAGUCUGUACGCAGGACGGGGGCUCCAGCACUCGCUGGUGUUCCCCUUCCACAGGUUUCUCUGUCCAAUAAACCUAUGUUGCUGUCGAGCUUCCCCACCUUGUAUGUCUCUUUUCUCUGUCCUAACACCCUGUUUCACAGCUACUUGUGGGGCUGAGGUAGGUGGGUUACUUGAGCCCAGGAGAUUAGGCUGCAGUGAGCCAAGAUGUACCAGUGCACUCCAGCCUGGGUGACAG
rnacentral:lncRNA from 1 species